CGGCCUACGGGUGGCUGCAGUGAGGAAUAUUGGUCAAUGGGCGGAAGCCUGAACCAGCCAUCCCGCGUGCAGGAAGACGGCCCUAUGGGUUGUAAACUGCUUUUCCAGGGGGCGAAACUUUCCGAUGUAUCGGGAUUUGACGGUACCCUGGGAAUAAGCAUCGGCUAACUCCGUGCCAGCAGCCGCGGUAAUACGGAGGAUGCGAGCGUUAUCCGGAUUUAUUGGGUUUAAAGGGUGCGUAGGCGGAUCGAUAAGUCAGUGGUGAAACCCUGCAGCUUAACUGUAGACUUGCCGUUGAUACUGUUGGUCUUGAGUGUGGUCAAGGUAGGCGGAAUGUGUAAUGUAGCGGUGAAAUGCUUAGAUAUUACACAGAACACCGAUUGCGAAGGCAGCUUACUGGGCCAUUACUGACGCUGAUGCACGAAAGCGUGGGGAUCGAACAGGAUUAGAUACCCUAGUAGUCGG
rnacentral:rRNA from 1 species